GAAGAAACAUUGCUCCUUCCUGCCCUACAUAUGCUCUCCCUGGCUGCACAGAGGAGUGGAUGUGGCUAUGGACCUUGGUGUUUGAAGGACCUCCAUGGGUCACAUUGUAUGAGGAAGACUGGUUAAAUCUAUCUCCCCAGGUUCCUUCUCAGGGGAAGAUGUAGAAGAUAUCGAAGCUGUCUGGAGCCACUCAGAAAGAUCGCCAGCGACAUUGAAGUUGCAAACCAGCAAGAUUUGUCAGAUUAUCACCUUCUGCCUUUAUCUAUUCUGAAGAUACUUGAAGUCCAAUAUCUAGAAAUAUUCUCACCUGGAUGCCUUUGAACCUCAGAACCUGGGACUGCUCUACACAUUAACCAUCAUUUGUCUUUAACAUCCAUAGAGAUGCCACCUAAAAUAUAAAAUAUACCUGAUUGUCUGCACACUAUUGUCCUAACUUUGGCAGCUGACUUGCAUCACACCCUCCUUUAAAGAGUUUAACAGAAGUGACCUAGUGUCAGGAUUAAGAGUCUACUUCACUGUGAUAGAGCAAGGUACCAACCCAACUUUUGGACUGGGCAUCUACUGGGAAACUGGAAAAUUUCAAAGGUGGGAAUGAGCAGGAGCAGAAGACUUCACCCUAGAAUAUGCCAUGUUGGCAUGUGAAUUUUUUUGAGCUUAAGGCAAUUAAGA